AAACUGUCUUUUGUGGGAGCCAAUGAAAAUAACAGUUCCAUAAAUAGAAAUUAUUCCUCCAAGCAAAGGAGUCCCAAAGCUCUUGUUCUACAUCUUUGGGCCAAAGCUCAGAGUUAGGAAGGCAGGGACCCAAUCCAUUCCUGCCCUGACCUGACAUGGGCAACAGACUCUUUUGCUGUGUCUCCAUUUUUCUCCUUGGAGCAGCCUCUGCUGAAGCAGAAAUCACUCAGACACCCCGAUUCCUGGUCACAAGAGUGAAGCAGGAGGUGACACUGAGAUGUCAACAACAUUUGGGCCAUAAUAACAUGUACUGGUACCAACAGGAGCCCCACAAAGGACACAAGCUAAUGUUUUAUUUUACUUACCAAAAGAUUAAUUCAAAUGAAUCUCUUCCUCAGCGCUUCAAAUCCGAUUCACCAUCAAAAGAUCAGUUGACACUCCAUAUCCACGGUGUGGAGACAGAGGACUCAUCCACCUACUUCUGUAGCAGCAGCAAAGACACAGCCUUGCAGAGCCUUCUCCAAGCUGUGAAGAAACCUACUGGCCCUGGCAUAGGAAGAAAGAAGGGAGGGAAGUCACCACAUCAGAGAGUUGGCUCACACUGGGAUGUUUUAGAGGGAGGAGGGACUGUCAAACCCCAGAGGCCUUUGCUAGUAGCUAUCAGCUUUCAUAAUGGUCUGAUAUACAGUUCUCUGAUUUAUUAGAAAAUGCCAGUCUAUG